rnacentral:lncRNA from 1 species
AUGAGGGGGACCUCCCCCUUCAUUUGCAUUACUCUGCCAGGCCACACCUAUCCCGCGCUUCUCAUUUACAUAUUCGCACUCCCUCUGCGGUUUCAGACCUCCCCAAUCCCCCUCCCCCUAUCCUCGCGCAUCCGCAGCGCGACCAAAGCAGCUCAAGCUCCCCAGCUCCCGUUUUGCAUAACUGAGCCAGUCUGGACAGCUCGGUCCGCCUCUUAUUUACAUAAGGGCCAGUCAAAGUCCUACCCCAAGCAGCUUCUCCUUAGCAGGAUUCGGGUAUCACUGCAGCUGCAAGGAUGUCAUCUUGACAACAAGGGACACAGAUUCAGUGAAGAAAUGUCCACCUCCUUUCAACUGCCAUUCAUAAAGACCUCUUGACUGCACCUCCUGCUUCCCAGUUUCUACAGAAAUGGUGAUCUCUAGAGAGGAAUAAAAGCAUGUUUGGUGGAGCUACA